rnacentral:rRNA from 1 species
GAUGAACGCUAGCGGCAGGCCUAAUACAUGCAAGUCGAACGGUGUAGCAAUACACAGUGGCGCACGGGUGCGUAACACGUAUGCAACCUACCUUACAUUGGGGGAUAGCCUUUCGAAAGGGAGAUUAAUACCGCAUAAGACAGUAACUAGGCAUCUAGUAGCUGUUAAAGAUUUAUCGAUGUAAGCUGGGCAUGCGUCCAAUUAGUUAGUUGGCGAGGUAAUGGCUCACCAAGACGAUGAUUGGUAGGGGAACUGAGAGGUCAAUCCCCCACACUGGCGCUGGGAUACGGGCCAGACUCCUACGGGAGGCAGCAGUAGGGAAUAUUGGGCAAUGGGCGCAAGCCUGAUCCAGCCAUUCCGCGUGCAGGAAUAAGGCCCUAUGGGUCGUAAACUGCUUUUGUAUGGGAAAAAAUCAUCCUACGUGUAGGGUGUUGAUGGUACCAUGAGAAUAAGGAUCGGCUAACUUCGUGCCAGCCGCCGCCGUAACAC